AAAGAAGGGACCACCAGGAGACCUGGGGUCACCCAUGGUUGCAACCAUGUCCAGACCCUGGAUGCCUAGCAGAGAGAGAACUGGUUUUCUGGUUGACUCUACUACCCAGAUACUCUCUCCAUCAUCAGUGUCUCCUUACUCCACAGUCUACUAAAACAGGAGUCAAAAUAGCUCCAGAGGUCAGGGACUGCUGCCUGGUCUCAGCUAGUGUUCUGCAAGAUCUUCUGCAUCUGAAGAUGUAUUCCUGGUGCAUCUGUGGAGAGAGGUAUUCCACAUCCACCUACUCCUCUGCCAUCUUCAGCUAUACUCUUUUCACAUGUGCCGAUCACGCCCUCAACCGCAGACAGACAGCAUGCCAUGGGCACAAACAGGUCCAGGCAAGGUAAAGGUCCUCACUACAAAAGAAGCAGCUCAGAUUCAGAUGACACCUCCUACCAGCACCAGUAAAGCUGUCCUAACAGAACUAGGCGCAGUAACUUGCUAGUGUAAGUAUCCAUCCGAAUAUGUGUUCACCAGGAUCACUCUCAGAAAAAUAAAGCUGUCAGAUACUGAG
ensembl:lncRNA